rnacentral:rRNA from 1 species
AAACUUUACAAUGCCGGCAACGGCGAUAAGGGAACCUCGAGUGCCAGGAUACAAUCCUGGCUGUCGUAAUGCCUAAAAAGCAUUUCAUAGCAAGGGCCGGGCAAGACCGGUGCCAGCCGCCGCGGUAACACCGGCGGCUCGAGUGGUAACCGUUAUUAUUGGGUCUAAAGGGUCUGUAGCCGGCUGGAUAAGUCUCUUGAGAAAUCCGGCAGCUCAACUGUCGGGCUUUCAGGAGAUACUGUCCGGCUCGAGACCGGGAGAGGUGAGAGGUACUUCAGGGGUAGGGGUGAAAUCUUGUAAUCCUUGAAGGACCACCAGUGGCGAAGGCGUCUCACCAGAACGGAUCUGACGGCAAGGGACGAAAGCUAGGGGCACGAACCGGA